CACUCUAUUUUUGUAGUCUUUUGUGAGUCUCCUUGCCUCAAUGGUGGCACUUGUUCAGGUCCCCUCACAUGCACUUGUGACUAUACUUAUACAGGGAAUGAUUGCUCAAGAAGGUUUUGUCCAGCUGAUUAUUGCAAAGGACGUGGCACUUGUUUUCUUGAUGAGUUUGAAGAACCACCAGCUCCAUCCUGCAAUUGUGAUGGCUAUUUUGGUCCAAGAUGCAAUUUUAAGAGAAGUACUCUCUCCAAAAAUGAAACUGCUGGCCUGUCUGCUGGAGUGAUCAUUGCCGUAAUUAUUAUUAUCAUUAUUGUAGUGGCAGUGGUCAUUUUCUUUAUAAGCAUACGUAAAAGGAAAGCACAGCGUACCUUAGGGCAUUUUGAUUCAACUCUUAUUCAUGUCAACCCUGCUGUCACCCUGUCACCUCUUGAAAGUGGGAGCACUCCACCAAAGAAUACAAAUAGCACCAAUACUCUUGACAAUGACGACACAUCUAAUGUUUAAAGAAAUACACUUGGAGUGUAUAAUGACAAAUACAUGUAUAUAAAUGCAAGACAUUUUAUUGUUACUUAGUCGUAUAGAUUUUAUACACCAAUCACUGUAUUUUGCUUUAUUGUUACCCAUUAAUUAUCAUUAUUAAUGCUAAUUACUUAUUAUUGCUAAAUAUUGAUCCUUAUCACUUGUGUCUUUA